UCUUUAAACGAUUUCAUUAUUUAUUGUGCAAAAUAUUGUGCGUCAUUAAUAUGAAAAAUAAAUCGACUGUAUAUAUAUAUGAGACACCCAAAGUCUUAAAAUACAAACAUUCUCUUUUCAUUCUUCAAAGUAUUAUUCACAAAUCUCUCAUCUCAUACUAUUAAGGUAUUACGACGAUCCUGCUUGUGUGUCAAGAAAAAUGUGUUUAGACGCAAAGGUUCCUCAUCUUUAGAAUCCUGAACUCAACUCUUUGUGUCUUGUCUCCAAAAAUCAUGUCUGGUCUAUUUUUUUCAUGUGUUGAAUACUGGUAACGACAAUAUGGUCUUCCUUUUUUUAUAUGUAGACCAGGUCAUGAGAGUGAUAGUGAUCCAGGAGACCUUGAACAUGCUGAGAAGCUUCGCCAAGUUAAAGCAGUUCUUGAAGAGGUUUUUUAGUACUUUCUCUUUUUUUGUUGAAUAUAGUCCGGAGAAAGUAUUACAUAGUAUCAUUUAGUAAUACUAUCUUAUAUCAUUUUUUUUGUUGAAUAUACUAUUUUAUAAGUAAGCUAGCAUUAUGCAUUUUUUAUUUAAUUCAUGAGGUCAUUUUCUCACAGUAGAGAACCUUUUGGAAUGGCGCAGGGAGGACAUUUCUCAGGGAUAUACAGGAAGGUUCAACUGAAGCCGCUGAAGUGGGAUGGUGAAGGCGAAGAAGAAAGACCUGUAGAGGCCCUUAUGAUUCUUAAAUACGGCGGUGUUCUAACUCAUGCUGGUAGAAAACAGGUGUUUACAUACUCUACCAUUUAAUUUGUCAUUGUUAUAUAUAUAUAUAUAUAUAUAUUUUUUUUUUUUCCAAAUAUGGAAGAAUUGUUUAACUUAUUGAUGUUUGCUUCAUCUGCAUGCAGACAGAAGAGUUUGGUAGAUAUAAUUUUUUGUAGGUUUCUAAUUGAAUUUGCUUUCUUUAUCGAGAAAUAUACUUCAUAAUUUAUAUUAUUUAUGGAUAAUAUUUUGAUUUUUAUUAUAUUUUCUUUUAAUAUAUCUACAUAAAUGUUUGUUUAUUACUUAUGGAAAAAUAAUAUUAUUCACCUAAAAUAAAGAAUUACGACACAUAUACAAUACAAUUCUAAUUAAUGAUAAUAUAAAAUCUGUUACUUCUAAAACUAUACACUCUUUAUUCUAUUUUUUGAAUGAAAGUAUCUUCGUAAACACACAAAAUAUUUUGUGACGUUGCAAUUAUACAUACACACAAUAUCUGCCUCUUCAUACUGACGUUAUUGUGUUCCCUCUCGUGAGGUGCGGACCGAGAGGGAACACAGAAUGCGGGCCGGUCAUGUUCUGGGUGCGGACCGGUCACCUAGUAUAUUUUAACAUAUUCACUCAUACUCCACAUAUCAUCUUCCUUUUUAAUCCACCGCUACGGAAAAAAAAAACAAUAACUGAGAACGUUUUUAAACAAAUAGGAUAUCAACACACAUUAUCAACCAUUUUAUUAGCAUAAAUAAAUAAAAGAAAUGUUCACGUCCCCUUCAACAUUUUUUAUAUAUAAAGUAGUGUUUUACUCACUCCUGAGGGUGCCACAUAGGACUCCAUGUUACAAAGUCUGUUUCUUGACGUUGUGACACGUGUCCUGGAUGUAAAACUCAACGUUUCAUUAAUUCUGGUGUGGGUUUCGAUUUUCAUUUGGUAUAAUCGCGUGUUUGGACUGAUGUCGUGGUUUGGUCCGUGAAGUAGAGUUCUUCUGUAACCCUAAUAACGCAGAGACGAUGAAUUGGUGCUCGUAUCUCUUAAUCGUGCGACGGCGACACGGUGACGUUUGUGCUUCUUCUGACCACCUAUCCAUUUCCAAUCAAACGUUAAGAUCAACUGGAAAGACACCAACGGAGACGUUCUUGAAUGAUGUCGAUCUCGAUUUGGGACGAGCGGAGCUUCGAUUCUGGCUAAUUGAUUUGUUUGGAUUUUUUUGGGAAGCGAGGAACACGACGAAGGGGCAUUUUAAUUGGUUUAUAGCUCCUGUUUAUUGACGAACAGGUUAGAACUCUGUGUUGAUUAAUUUUACUGCUUUCAUUUGUUCCUAUUAACUAAUACCAUUCUGUGAAAGGCAACUGAGCGUGGACAAGAAUACAUUCUUAUUAUUUUCUUUGCAACAAAAAAAAAGAAAAUAAAAGGUUCUGCAACUCCGGUUGGUGAUUUUGGAAAUAUGAAGAAGUGCAAGCAAGAAGCUUUAUCAGACAUUUAAUCUGCUAGAAGACUAAACAUUGUUAGAUGCAUCUGAUGGUUAUAGACUAUGAGAAUUAUGGAAUACCUAAUGCCGAGUACCAUUCAAUUGUGAGGAGGUGGUAGAGAAGUCGAUUCCAUUCUCCAGGUGGUGUGCUGCUUUGAGGACAACGAUAUUUAUCAUGUCGGUGGCAAAAUAAAUCCCACGUCUGACCUUGAUUUCAUCAAUCUCGAACUCAUUUUCUGCGACUUGGAUCAGAUUUGUAAAAUACUCGGAACUUACGAAAUGCAAGGCAAGAGGAUUCACAAUCUAAAGUCAAAGAAAACUAUUGUCUGAAUGCCUUUGGUAUAAUCGUAGUGUGCUUUAUAGUGAUAUUGCAGUAGAUGUGUAGCUACGUAGUCUAGACAAGUAAAUUCAGAAAACACGAAGGAUCAGUUUAGCUUCAACAGAUAAUGGGAUUUGAUGUAUUUGAUUCACUAAAUGAAUGGAGUUAGAGCUUUACAAAAAAAAAUGUUUCUUUUAUUGCAUAUCUUUUGGCGAUUUUUGACCCGUUCAAACUAAUGUGUUAUAUAUGCACACAACUAUUCUGAUGUAUCAAGAUUUCUUGCAGGGAAAUUGAGAAAUUAAAAUUAUCUGAGAUGUCAAGCAAAGAAGACGUCAUUGAAGUGGCGAAGAUGUGAGCAUUGCUUGCUUCUCAUAUACUCAACUUCAGCAGUAAACUUUUUGUGAUUCUCUUUAUAAAAUUAUAGCACACGAUACAUUUUUAACUAAUACAUAUAUCAUAUUAUGUUUUUUCUGUUUCAUAAUAAACUAGGGUAAACCCGCCCCACGGGCGGGCGAUUAAAUAUAUAAUAAUAUAAAUUAUUUUAAAUUUAAAUUUAUUUUUAACUAAAAAUACCAUAAAUGUUUUAAAUUUUCUAUGUAUUUUAAAAUUAUUUUAGAUAUUAUAAACUUGUCUAAUUAUAUUAAAUUUGAAAAAUAUAAUUAUUUAACUUCUCUCAAUGUUUAUUUUAAUUUAACUAUACCAAUAAGAUACAUAGAUUUAAAAAAAAAAUCACAAAGCACUAUGAAACAUUACCUAUUUUAAUUAUAUGUAAUAUUAAAAAAUUUACUAUAUAUUAUUUUUAAAUCAUUAUUUAUUUGAUUUCUCUGUUAAUCAGCUUUUAGGGUUAAAAUUGUUUGAUGUUGUGAUAUUCAACCUUGAUUUCAUUGUGGUUAACUAAAUUUCAUCAUAUAAUGUUAAACUAUAAUGGGUUAUUCUUUGUGAAAAUAAAAAAAAACAAUUACAUUAUUUUUUCAUUGACAAUGCAUAAAAAACUUCAAUUUUUUUGUUUAUUUUUCCACUGAUGCUUAUCUUAAGAUCUCCUUCCAAAACUCUAAGACCAUCUUCAACCAGGGUGCUUAAGGGGAAUGCUUAGCUUAAUAAAUAUUUUUUUUUUAAAAAAAUGGGAUUAAUAUAAAAAAGCGGUGCUUAAAGAGGAGGUAGAAGAACCGGGUGCUUGUGGGACACGUGUUGGAUCUUGGUCGAAUUGGCUCGAUCCUCUCUCUCUCGUCUUCGUCGAAUUGGCUCGAUCGCCUGGUUCGAUCGGUACAAAAUCCAGCCCAAGGUCAAGAACUCCUUCUCAGACAUGUUCCGCUGCUACAGAGAUGUCAUGAAGAUGUUCAUUUCGUCGGCCCUCUGCAGCUCGUCUCCUAUCCUUCGAUCCAGGUAACCCGUCUCAGCUCUCCUCCGCCAUGGAAUCAAGUUUUUCCGUCGCCGGAUCCUCCACCAUCGUGCUCCAGAUCCGGGAGAGAAAGCUUGUGAGCUCCAAUGGCCAUUCUUGGCUUAUUUUCAAGUCUGGUCCUUUGUCUUUGGAUAAUUAUUUUUUGAUCCCAAAACUAUCAGAUUUGCAGAA